UUCGUAGGCGGACUGACAAGUUAGAGGUGAAAUCCCAGGGCUCAACCUUGGAACUGCCUUUAAAACUGUCAGUCUAGAGACCGGAAGAGGUUAGGGGAAUACCUAGUGUAGAGGUGAAAUUCGUAGAUAUUAGGUGGAACACCAGUGGCGAAGGCGCCUAACUGGUCCGGUACUGACGCUGAGGAACGAAAGCGUGGGGAGCGAACA
rnacentral:rRNA from 1 species